GGUAAAGCCGGGGGAGGUGGCCGGGUGAUACGGAGGGGGGGAGGGUUGUUCGGAUUGAUGGUGUGUAAAGCGGGUGUAGGCGGCCAGGUAGGUAGGUUGUGAAAAUGGGAGGCUUAACCUGCAGACGACGUUCGAAACCAUCUGGCGAGAGUCCGGAAGAGGGGAAUGGAAUUCCUGGGGUAGCGGUUAAAUGCGCAGAUAUAAGGAAGAACACCGAUGGCGAAGGCAGUGCUCUGGGACGGUACUGACGCUGAGACGCGAAAGCGUGGGGAGCGAACAGGAUUAGAUACCCUAGUAGUC
rnacentral:rRNA from 1 species